CCUGCUACCAGAGGGCUUCUUGCAGAAACCCCAUGCAUCUCACAAGCCUCCUGCCUUCAGCAGAGGGCAGUGAACUUGCACGCACACCACCACCUCCUCCACAUUGGGUCUUGUCAUCUCAGCGCAGAUCAUCUGAUGGUCACAGAAACUGAUGGAGAACGGGUUAAUGCCUCGUCCAUUGGCGGCAGACAGGAUGUAUGAGGCUGUUUCUUCCCUUGGAAGAUGCACAGACCCUACAGAACAGGAUGGAAAGGCAAAGGAUGCAUCAGGGGAUGGCCUUUGACAGCGAGCUGGGAAGGGAGCUCCAGCACUGCCUCGUUGCAAACAGGAGCUGGCCUGGCACAGCCUCUGGAAUCCAUGCUCCUCUCUGAGCCUGCAGACAUGAAGGUGUCCCACAUCCAGGGCAGUGGAAGUCUCGGUGCUUUUAGCAGGUUGAUCCCACAUGAGACAUCCACCAUCCACAGAGCAUCCGUGGCCGAAUCAACAAGUGAAUCCAAAUCAUUCAGCUUCCUCCCUAUUAGCAGGUAAUUGGUGGCAUCCUGGCCUCUCAGGCACCAGACGGUUCCUCAUAAAACAUUCAGAUUGGAGUUAUCCAAAGAGGAAAAUGAGGAGGGAGGGAUUUUUCCACCUGAUGGACGUGGCAUGUAAUUAUGGCAGGCAUAUCCCGAUGCUUUGUCUGUGCUGCUCGCUGCGGCGAUGCCGAAGAAUUCCUUGAUAUUCAAGAAGUGCCCUGACCAAGUCAGGUUUCCAUAAUAUGAUUACAUUAUGAAAUUCUAUUUCACGCCUGCAUAUUAUAGCGUGCACAGCAGCACUUUCAUCACGCAUCAGAGCGUAGUUUGCUCCGCUCUGAUACCACUCACCAGAGGAUGUCUACAAAUGGAAUUAUUUCAGGAUAGUUAUCCUAAAUAACUCCGUGUAGGGAAACCUGUAUUGUAGCACAAAAGCACCUUGCUCUCCUUUAUCGUAAUCCAUUUUAAAUGUGGAUUAUGCUGAUGCAGAACAGGGCACUCCUAUUUUGGAAUAGUUUUAAAUAGGAAUAGGUUUUGUGCUUUUGGCUCACACCCUGCAUUAUCCAAAACAGCUUUGAAGUGUAAACAAGCCUCUAAUGUGCCUCUAUUUCCAUUCUGCUCCCUGGCUCCUCCUUGUUCCCUGGUUCUUCCUUUGGGAAGAUCCAAAGCAAAACCAGACCUGCAGAGCCUGUCAUUUAGGUCUUUGCUUUCCCAAACUUCAUACCAAGGGACAUCACCAAUCUGAUUCCCAACUUAAAUGCAUCCCCAAGCUUCUGAAGGGAGAAUUGAGAUGCAGGUUUCUGACUCUGUGCCAUCCCCACAAAUUAAACCAGUACCUGUUUCCUUUCACACUUUUCUAACCUCCUGUGGGACAGUUUGGGGUUUUUCUCUGUUAUCAUCAGCCUAUUCUGCAGCCUGCAGAGAAAACUGAGGGCUACGACUCUGAGAAAGGUCCAAAGCUUCAAGGCCAGGUUGGACACAGGGGCUUGGAGCAGCUGCUCUAGUGGAAGGGGUUGGGGUUGGAGCUGGAUGAGCUCUUAGGUCCCUUAACCCAAACCAUUUGAUGAUUCUCUGCAACAGAGCAGCUGACUUGGAGAACCCCAUUGCAUGCACAUUAUUUUGUCUGCUAAUUUAUCACUCAUUGUCUUGAUAGGUCCUCCUGUAGCCCUUUGCAGACAGGUUCUGAUUUGCCUAUCCUGAGUGAUGCUGGCACAUCUGCAGACACACAGGUCACUUCAUCCCCAGCAUCACCAGAGGCACCGGCUGCCGUGGCUGGGGAGAUGAGGGCACUCAGGCCAGCUCCUGUCAUUCCUUCUCUGUGACUGCACAGACCAAACAUCAGGCAGGGAGGAGGCUGUUCCUUAAAUCUAUGUGGUAUUUCAAGGUACAGCCACAGGGGCAGAAGGCUCCUGGUUCACAAAGACGAUGGAGGGGCUUGCUUCAAAUAAAAAGAGGUUUAUUAAGGUAAUGAGAAUGACA
rnacentral:lncRNA from 14 species